UGGUAGAGAGAGUAUUGGAGAAGUCGGUGGAGAUUAAUACAUGGGAUGUGGUAUCUGUAAUAGGACCAUACCUUCGUUAAUCGUACGUACGGCAAAGAUGUGACUCGUCAUGAGAUUGACUCCCCAUCAACCAUGAACAACUCACUCGUGGAAUACGUCUAUGUAGAAUUGUAGAUAUGACUAUUUUGGUUAAAUCAAUGCAGGCCCCAUACUGCUGUAGCUGAAUUGACGUAAAUCAAUAUCGUAAGGAAAAUAUUCCAAAAAAUCAUAUACAGUCCCCUAAAGAAAAGUUGCAGCAUGGUUUUACGCAGUGUAUUGCUCGUGUAGUAACGAGGAAAAUAUAGAACUUAGAGCAGCUCUAUCGGAGGCUGUUUAGAGGGUUUCUAUACCAAAAAAAAAAAAAAUUAAAUGAAAAAUGAAAUAAAGCCACAGAACCGGUCCUGUAUUUGGUGGUUGUAGAAGCCGUAAUAACCCCAUACGUGGCAAUAUGAUAUUGGCUCGAGCAAAGGUUGCCUCUUCUCUUCUCUUUCGCAAUCGAUCCGUCUCUCUCUUUUCUUCGAUGUUGUCGAUGACUCCUCCCCACCGGGGAUCGCCGCUCUUGGCCGCUUGCAAUCGAACCGUCUCUCUCGCAAUCGAUCCGUCUCUCUCGUUCUUGGCCGCUUGCAAUCGAACCGUCUCUCUGGCAAUCGAUCUGUCUCUCGCAAUCGAUCCGUCUCUCUCGUUCUUGGCCGCUUCUCUUCGUCGCUCUCUCCUCGUUCGUUUCUCUCUUCGUCGAUUUCUCUCUUCAUCGCUCUCUCUUCGUCAAUUUCUCUCUUCGUCAUCGAUGCUGUCAAAGGGAGAUGAUGUUUGAUCCAUUUCUCUCUUCGUCGUUGUUCUCCUCCGGAGCCGUCCAUGCAAUCAUCGUGAAGGUUAUGUCUCUUUAAUUUUUUUGUUCCAGUGAAUUGUAAUCCUUCGAUUAGAAUCAAAUAUGUUGUUUCGAUUAUGAGUUUUGACUCAGUUCAUCUCCUCUAUUUGUCUCUCUCAUUACAUGGAGAGAGGAAGAACAUAGGUUUGUGCAACAGUCAGGAAGAGGGAUGCGAUUGUGCGUUAACAGUCAGGAAGAGAGAUGUUCAGAUAGAAAAGAUGUAAAAUCAGAUGGCAGAGUUGAGAAAGAAGAUGGAUUUUGUUCAGUCUCGGCUUAAAAAUUUAAUGAGAUUCAUUGAACACAAGGAAGUAGAUAUACCGAAGGAGCAGCAAGAAACGUACCAAAGUCCAUGGAGGAGGAUCAAACAUCAUCAAAGCUUUUAAUGCGUGUGAAGCGAGAAGAGCAUGUGAGUGCAA